AGUUGAUUAAAAUAAUUAACCUAAGUUUAAUUAAAAAAAAUUUGAAAUCUGACACCACUCGCGAGCCCGCUCGACUUCGGCACUGUCGCGGGAUUGCGCGACCAGCCAUGGCCGUGUGGAUUGCGUGACUCCUUCGGCAUGACCACGUUGGCCAUGCAAUCCCUCUACAGUGACCGCAGGGUCGCUUCCGCGGCGGCAACGGAAGGGUUAUGCGACCUGUCCGCUAUUGUUGCAGGGUUGAGCGACCCUUUUGCUGUGAUCAUAGGGUCGUGCAACACGUCGCACCUGUCGUGGGUCUAGUGUCGGGGUCAUGCCGGUGUCGGUUGCCGAGCGGAACGAGACGUUUCGCUCGUUUCGACCGUUUCGGCACAGCACUUUAAACCAUGAUAUAUGUAUACCAUAUGUGUGAUCAUUAAUGAAUGACUUAAGAAUCAUGCUCAUGUUUCUUGAAACUCAAGAAGGUACGAUUUAAUCUUUCUAGGUAAAAGUUGUUUUUGACAAGCUUCUUCUUUCUUCUUUUGGUUCUUUUAAGGUUUGAAGGUCAGAUUUUGGUGUUCAUUCUCUCCCCUUUGGAUGUUGUUGUAAGAAUGUUUCUCCCUUUUCUUUUAGAGCUAACUACUUUUGUCCUACUUUUUAUUGGAGUAAUUCAACGACAUAAAUUGAUUGCAAUAGAUAACUCAUUAGUCAUUAUAUAGGUUUCUUAGUUUUGUUGCUUGAUAUGACAUUUUAUGGGCACUUUGAUAGCUCAUUCAUACGACUGCUUGCUACUACCAUGCUUAGUGGAAAGAAACUUGCCCAAGCAUUGGUGAGCGCAGAUAUUAUUUGUAAUGUGAUUUUCAUAUUCAACUAAUGGAAUUCAAUUUGAUUGAACAUCUUUUUAGCUCCCUACUAAGAAAAGUGCUAUUGCAAAACCGCAAGUGAAAACAAUAGAUGGGGUGGAACAAUCGAAGGAUUUUGUUGAGAUUGAAGAUGCUGAGAUAAUUAAAACUCCAAUUCUAUUUUUUUUUGGAAUUAAAGACCACUUGUUUUAUUUUACAUGGAAUUAAAUUACAAAGAUGGAAAAAAAAGCUAAUGUAGAAUAAUUAUUCAAUAAAUCUUUUGGGUAUAUUUCGUUGAUUGCGAAAUGAGUUUAGAGAAAAUUGAAGGAAGAUUGGGAUCACACGUAAAGGUGGAAAUUAUUGGAUGGAAGGUAAUGAAUCCUUCUACAAAACCUUCACUUACUCUAAUUGAAGCUACAACAUUGGGAGAAGUCGACAAAGGAAUUAGGGAGCUGAAAAAUGAUCCUCUUGUAGAAUUGCUUUCACCAAAAUGGAUUUUCACUUCUGCAUAUACAACCAAGUGAAAUCUUUUUGUUAGAGGAGGCUGGUGUAUUGGCGUGCAAGGUUGCCUGUUUGAAUGAGUAGAAUUGGCAGCUAGUGGCUUUCUCCAGAAAGCUCUUGAUUUUGUUUGGACUGUCCAUAGAUUUCCUUCCUCUUCCAAUUUCCUAUCUUGAAUAAUUGCAGGAGCAUCUACUUUGAGAGCAAUAGAGGCAAUUGUUACUUAACCUGAAAUCAGACAUUGCAGUAAAUCUUCUAAACCAUAUCAAGAGUCUACCAAGGAGAAGCGUCGUUCACAAAUAGCUCAAGGCUGAUAUGUUCCAUUUAGAGAAUGCUUUCCAAAGUGGAACAUGGAAAGACAAUUAUGCUCAGAACAAAAAGGUGUUACAUUCGCAUCAUUGUCAAUGAGUUAGUUUUCAUCUAGAGAAUAACCAUGCUUUCUAAUCUUUUUUUUUAACACAUGAGCUACACUAGAUAGUGAAUGGAGUCAUUGAAAUGGUAAAGAAAACUAUUUGGUAAUGACUGGAGUUUGGUUAUACAUGCAACUUAUAUUCAAUACACAAGCCUAUUGUAUAUUUAUGCUAUUAUCAUGCUAAUCAUGCUUGCAUAUUCUUUGCUCUUUUGCAAAAAAUAAAUUUAAGGAUUUGCUAAACAUGCAUAUGUAUGCAGAUUUAUCCUUUUUCCAAUUGUUGUUUAUUUUUUUUUUUGCAUCUUUGUGUAAUUUAUGUUUUUUACACAAAGUACACAAAGUUAUUGGCAGGCUACUAGUUUUAAUAUCAUAAUCUUUGUUUUUACUUUUCUUUCAUUGCCUUCAUCAUGGUUCUACUCAUCCUAAAAGGGUUUGAUGAUGUUUGAUAUAUAGAGUUGAGGAACCAUUUGAAACUUUUAAUUCUUUUUUUCUUGAGCCACAAAGGCUAGGCCAAACACUUGGAAUUCCUAAGAAUAGUGUAAGGACAAACACCGAAGCAGAAAUAUGUGCGUCUAAGUUGUGCAACCUUCUUCUAAAAGCUGUAUGGAAUGCUCCUGCAUUAGGUGGCUCAUCAUGCAUUAUAUAUCCAUAUUGUUUACAAUAAAAUCGUGGGAUGCUUACGAGAAGAGGAUUACAUUAGUGACCUGUAAGUAUCAAUCAUGGGUACCAUUAAGUUUUUAUGUUUAAAGUUUUUUUCAUGAUAGACAUAACCUAUUGUGUUUUAUUUACGGCGAGAGAGAUGCACUUAUUAUGCCUAAGAAUUUUGGAAUUCUUCCAAUGGUCCUAGUAGCCAUUAUUCUUGUUGGCCAGCAAGAGAUAUAACAACAAAUUCCAAGGAUUCACAAGAUGACCUCUUCUGGUCCAAGAUAUCAAGAGAUGAAUACAUGAGAUAUGCAUUCGAGGAGUGCUAUAUAUAGCAUAGUGUUAAAGUUAUUUUGAUGUUGGUACUUGGACAUCUGUUAACUUUUUUUUAGGUGGAGAGAAUCUACAAGGGUAUACAUAUUAGUAAAAAGAAACAUACAAGCUUUAGGUUAACCAAGUUACAGUUCGCGACGCCCAGAAUUUUUUGCUUUAACUAGUAUUCUCAUAUGCUCUCUCCAUGCAAUUUGCACUUUACUUUCCAAUUUUAUUUUAUUUACCUUUUUUUUCUUCUAUCAGAUGUUCAUCUACAAAAAAAGUUGUGUUGGGUUCCAUCAAAUUUUGGACGUUCUACUUUCUUGCCAUCUUAAUGUUAGCUAACCACUACUUAUUACAAAGCUUGAGCUGUGUAAAAAGAGACAAAUUUAUCUAGUGGUGACAACAUCCAAAAUGGAGACAACAUCCAAAAUGGAGAAGUAGCGACAAAGUACAAGUGGUAGCGACAUUCCAAGAUAGUUGUACAAGCAUCAAAUCUAGAGGAGGGCACUUUGAUAGCUCAUUCAUAAGGUUGUUUACUGCUAGCAUGCUUAGUGGGGAGAAACCUACCCAAACAUUGCCCCCUACUACGAAAAGUGCUACUGCAAAGCCAUGUAUGAAAACAACAGAUGGGGUGGGACAAUUCAAGGAUUUUGUUGAGAUUGGAAGAUAUUGAGAGAAAAUUGAAGGAAGAUUGGGAUCAUGUGUAAAGGUGGAACUGUCUCUCAAAUAAAGAGCAGUGUUUCGAAGGAACUGCUAGAAACUGUUACAAGAUGCUUUGUUGAUGUUCAAGCUCUACAAAAUCAUGACAUCCCAAGGUUUCCGGUGAAGGCAUUUCAUGGAUGGUAUCUGUAGUUGAACGAAUUGCACAUAUAAAGCUAAAGGUGCUAUUGGAAUCUUUUUACCGCUUGUAAUUCUCACAAAAUCCUCUCUUCAAAGUAAGUGUUGGUUAUAGAAUUUAAUUAAUUUUUGCAAAGAGUUUGGGCUGUAAUCUACAAUCAGGAAAGCGUACUGUUAGACUUAUUGGAGUCUUACAUAAAUUUGUAGGCUCAGUUUAAAUUUUUGACUUUUCAAAUAAUAAUUGUUAUGACAAUGAGAAUCUUAAGUUUUGCUUUCUGAGACAUUAAAGGUUUCCUCCAAUGUCAAGCUUACUCUUUUGAGUCCUUUGGAUGCUAAGUGUGAAAAGAAUGCAUAUGAGGGUGUGUUGCAACAAAUCCCAAGAAAUUAGUGAGAGUAUUGGAUUCUCUUUUUCCGAAUCUAGAUAUGAUUCACUUCCUUGUGAGGAUGUUAAUGCAAAACACCUAAUUUGUUGAAGGAUUUGGGAAAUUUUGACUGGAAAAUUACAAGUGACACCAGGAAACUUGUCUAUCACACUUUAAUCAAAUUGCUCGAGGUAUUUUCUUGGGAACCAAUACUAUGCCAUGAUAAUGUAGAUGUGGGAUGGUCUAGACUAUCAGAUAUGGAUGUUAACGAGGGAAAGCUUCUUGGAUGUUCAUACAAUCAAAGUUGUGUUGGCAUAUGGGUUGUGGACCUCUCUUGCAUUGAACCAUAUGCAAUUGCUAGUCCUAGAUUAAAUGGUCAUUCAGGCCAAAGUCUACAUCAGAUGGUAAUCCAUCUAUGCCAGCUGAUAACAUAAAGUCUAGUACGAGGAGGUUAUCAAUAUUAUAGAGUUUUGAAACAAAUUCUAAAGAGACAAAAUCAUUAUCAGCAACAGUCAUUGCUCCAGCCAGGUGCCCCUCAAAUAAUUGGGGCAUGUGCUAGCACGAUAGCACCUCUGACAGCACCACCAUCUGUUUCUUCCUUUGUAAAAAGAAGUUUAUCAAAAUUUCAGUCUACAUCUGACCUUCAGACUAGCAAAGCAGAUAUGACACCUGUGAUUGUUCCAAGAACUAGCCUGAGGAUACACUUGCCCUCUGAUUUUACUAAAGACUUUGGGGUUGGUAAAACAAUAUCAUUUGAUAUCCAAUCAAAAUUUACUGAAUUUUGGAAGGUGUCAAACAUCAAAGGGAAUUUAGAUAAAACAGAUAUCCAUUCAGUCUGGGAGCAGUAGUAAUAUUGAACAAAAUGAAUUUCUGGGCCAGACUCCUAUUUCUUCUGGCAAUGCUGGAACUCAACAUGUGUCAGCUGAAGCAAAUAAUUUGGAUGGUGUUAAGAACUUGAUUAAAUAAAGGAUCAGGUCUAUCUAAUUCAUUCAAAGAGCCACAUUUGCACUUUGAUAAGGAAAAUUGUAAGUCUGAUACCACCUUAUUUUGUUUUGUUAGAUUAUUCAUGAUUCCAACUUAUCAAGAUUUCUUGUUAUUAUUGUUGAAAGCUGUUAGUUAUAGGACAUUCUAAAGCAUACAUCAUCACUGUUCGAUGUUAUUUUGUAUUUCUCCUUCAAAUGAACUAUACUUGUAGACAUUGAAUGCAAUAUUUCUUUGCAAAUCAUGGCAUAGAUAAUGAAGAGAACUUCCUGAGUGAAAUUUCAGCAUUGAUAAUUUUCAAUCCUGGUUGGACUAAUACCAAACUUCUGAGUUGGAUCUAUAUAAAUUCUUACCCUGUCAAGUGUCACCUCCAAGAAAUUAAUUAUUCAAGGAAGAAUGUAUUGAAAGUAAAAGAAGCUUGACAUUCAAAGAAACUGGUAUAGAUAAGGUAGAUUUUGUUGGACACGGGAGGAAAUCCAUUAAAAAAUUAAUCAGAUUGGUGAUGUCUUAUUUGCACACUUGCAAGAGAGAUGUCCAUGUCUUCACUAUUUUGGACAUAUUCACCGCAUUUAAUUCGACCUUAGCUAAAGGGCUAACUGAAUCAACCAUAGCCAAUCUUGACUAACCAUGUUCAAUAUUAAAUUUGUUUAUGAAUCAUUCAAUAUGCUUUUUCUCAUUUCAGGGCACAAUUUCUGUUGUCGGCUUUUUGGCGUUUUAAAAAUAGUUGUUGGAACAUUGGUAGAACACAGUUUCUUAUUCCUCGGUGUUGGAGAGGUUUUACUCCUAAUCUCAAUUGGUUUAUUUGGUCUAUUGAAUGUGUUUAACACUUUAACUUUGAUUUUUUUUCACUUGUGUAUUUCUUGUGAACAUCUUAGUUUCCCAUUCUGGGAGUAUGAAUUCCUAUGUACUUAUGCUUCGUCCUUGUAUUUCAUAUUACAAAUCUUGUAAUGCAUAUAAUUAUAUGAGAAAUAGAUAUAGGAAGAUCAUGUCUAUUAGGAUUUUAUUUAUGAGGUGGGCUUCUGCUUUUUUAAAAAGAGGGUAGAAGAUAAUUUUUCCGAUUUGGAUCGAAAUCUACUGUUUGCCAUAAUUUCGCUAUGCUACUUAGUGCUAAGUGUACAUGUUACAUUUUAUGUGACUUUAAUUAUUGCACUAUGUAGGUACAUGUUUCAAGAGUAUUUUAACUAAUCUCAGUUAAAAUAUUUGUUCUGUUUAUACGAAUACUUCUUUAAAUCUUUUCCUUAUCUUGAUUAUCAAUACAGGCUGGUACCAUAGCUUUAGAGAUGUUAAAGCAGGUUUUGAACUUAGUCUUUUUAUUAUGUGCAUGAACAACGUUUUGGAUGUGAUGAUGAUAAUUUUAGAUAUUGGCAAAUUUUGGUUGUGGAUUUCUUAUGGUUGUUGUAGACAAAUGGUGCUCCAUUGGAAGAGACUCGCAAGAAGUUAUGAAUGGUCGAUUCUAAGGUAAGGAAGAGAAUCUUGGACCUUGGUUAUACUUAUUACAAGCAUACAACUUUUAAAUGUUUUACUUUGUUGUUCAUUGUUUGCAUUGUGAUACCCUUUCUGGGGCUUAAUUAUGAGCUCACACAAGGAUUCCCUUCAACAUUUUAAGCAACCUUGGGCGCAUGAUCAUGAACCUGUCAAUAAUCUUGUAGAUGUUAUCAAGGUAUUGCUGCCUCAAGUGCCAUUCUGGUUUCUUGGCAGGUGGUUUCAUGGGCUAAAUGUUUACUAUGCACUUGUAUAUUUUCUCUCUUACUAUGUGUGACUCUUAAGCUAUAUCAUUGUUGAUGAUAAGAAUGCUUUCUCCAACUCAGGUUUACUCUUUUAAAGUGGUUUCUCUAGUGGUCAUGUUUUCAUUUAGUUCUUCUAGAAGUAUAUAUUACAACACUAAUACUUUAUCUUAUUUUUGCUGUCUGAAGUUUGUACAAAUUCAAGCGGACUUUCUACUAAGGAAGUAGUUGAAGCGAUGGCUAAUUUUAAUGAGGUUAGCUUCUACACCUAGACCUCUACCAAAUCCUUACCAUAAUGCAUUUUUACAAUUUAACUAUAUUCAGAUAGUAUUAGAUCCAAUGCACGAGUUCCCUUGCAUUGAUUUUGGCUCAAUCCAAUCCUACCUCUCAAUCAGAAUGUAGUGUAGAAGAGUUGCACUAGUUUUCUCUAUCUUUUUGCAGCAAUAGUUGCAUAAUUCAUAUUCACAAUUUACUUUGGUAGUUAAGAAUUUGGCUUUCAUUCACAUGGUCAAGCAAUAUUUGCUAGUGGGAGUCCAUUUGAUCCAAUUGAAUAUGAUGGAAAAGUUCUUGUGCCAGGACAGGUUUAAAAUUUUUAUUUGUUACAAACUAACCUUUGGUGUUUCACUUUCUUCUGGUCAAAUAAUGCAUACAUCUUCUCGAGAUUUGGCCUUGGGCUGGUGAUCUUCGGAGCAACCCGUGUGCACAAUGAUGACAUGCUUACGUUCAGCCUGAAAGUUCACAAGUGGAAUCACCAUUACUAUAUUUCUAUUUUUGUAUAUCAAUAUUUCAAACUUGUUCCAUAUACCAUAAACCCAUCGGGAACAUGUUUAAUCAACUUUGAAAUUUACUUUUCCAUAUAUUCCACAAAACUAUGGAAAGUAGAAUAAUUGUGGUAUCUUUUGUUGGACAACAAAAGCUUUAACUCCUAAUGACGUAGGACAACUUGGACAAAGGAAUGGUCUACCCACCAUUCCCCAACAUUAGGAAGAUAUUUGCUCAUAUUGUUGCGAAUGUUGCAGCAAAAGCAUAUGAACUUAGAUUGGUGAGUCGGUACCCACAUCCCAAGGACUUCAUGAAGUACGCGGAGAGCUUCAUGUACAACUUUAUUUAUCACCCGUAUAGAUGAUUGGACAUGAGGGCUUUGCGCAUAUUAACAUUUUGAAGGUUGGACUACAAUAUAUGUGUUCAUUUCUGAAUGAUUUGAGAAUGGUGCUCGUGUUUCUUGAAACUAAAGAAGCCCAGUGAAAUGAAUGUAGAGGAAAUUGAAGAAAGAUUGGAAUCAUGUGUAAAGCUGGAAACAAUCUCUCAAAUAAAUCGUGUUUUGAAGGAACAACUAGAACAGUCGGCAUUUUAGAAGUCUAGUUACCAUGUGACGCGUAUGGAAAUGUUGUGCUUUGUAGUAGAGAUUGCAGUGUUCAGAGGAGACACCAAAAGGCAAGCUCCUAUUCACUUUUCAUCUUACUUUUAAUUUGAUAAAUUCUCAGAACCAUUUUCUUAUGGUCUGGAGUUUGGGAGUAUAUUUACUAGUGCCCUCUCUAUUUUCAACAUAGAAGUAGUUUCUGAAUAUUAUAUUUACUAGUGCCCUCUCUAUUUUGAACAUAGAAGUAGUUUCUGAAUAUUCUCCCUUUCUAGGCUUGUCUUUGGCCUCUCAUUUUCCAAUCAUAACUUAGAUUCAAAGGAAAAAAGCUCAAUCCAUCUUCAAGACAAAUUUUUAAUUGAAAUUUAUAAGCAUUUUAACAGAUUCAUGGCCAACAAAUUUAUCACAAUAACUAUUCUAGCAUGAGAGUAUCCUCUUUCAUAACUUUAUUUUCAAACUAAAAAAAAAACUUCAGGUUGUCAUUCUUCUUCCCGAAUAAACUUUUUAUUUUUUGAAUCUAAAAUGACUGAAUGACUUUAUUGACAACUCAAUAAAUUGUUAUCAGAUUAUUGAGGAAAAUGUGUAGGUUAUGUUGGUGCCGCUACAGUUGAGUAUCUUUAUAGUAUGGAAACUGGUGAAUACUACUUUCUAGAGCUCAAUCCUAGAUUAUAGGUUUGUUGAUAUACACACUGUAAACUGCAGAUGGUUUAUUCAAAAUUUUCUAUAGAUUUUUUUUGGUAGGUUGAACAUCUAACUAAGUGGAUUGCUAAUCUAAACUUGCCUAUGGCUUAAGUUGCUGUAGGGAUGGGAAUACCUCUUUGGCAAAUUCCAAGUGAAAAUUUUAUAACCCAUAUGGUUAACAAACUAUCCAUUUAUUUAUGAUGUUUACUAUUCUUAUCUCAUAAUCUUUGCUUGAAUUGAGAAAUCAAACAGUUUUAUGGAAUGAAUAAUAUAGAAGGUUAUGAUGCAUGGAAGAAAACAUCUAUUCUAGCAACUCCUUUAGACUUUGAUAAGGUUGAGUCUGUUUGGCCUAGAGGACACUGUGUAACUGUUCAUGUCACUAGUGAGAUCCAGAUGAUGGGUUCAAGCCUAAGAGUGGAAAAGUGCAGGAAUUGAGUUUUAAAAGCAAACCUAACACAAGGGCGUAGUUCUCUGUUAAGUCUGGAGGUGGCAUUCAUGAGUUCUCUAAUUCGCAAUUUGAGCUUUCACAAUAGCUAAUAUGGUGCUUGGGCUGAAAGGGAUACAAAUUCGUGAGAAAUCCACACAAAUGUCGACUACACAAUUGAUCUCCUCAAUGUUGACGUCAUAGAACAACUCCGGCUUCAACAUAAGAAGGAUCUUCUCCGGGUGGUAGACAGCACUAUAUCAUCAAGGACAGUAUCCGGAUGCAAUGGCACCAUUCUGGUCUGAUGGCAUCAUGGAAAUUUUACCAAGAACAUAUAGAGAAGAGAUGGGGGGGGGGGGGAUGGUUAUCAUUAAAUCUCUUUAGCUUCUGACAUCAUCUACUUGCAUUGCCGGAUGAGUACUUGCAUCAUGGAAAUCUCUUUACCAAGAACAACCAGAUGAGUACUUUACUGGACAGAUACAAUAUGAUCAAAUUUUCCGGGUUCCUCCCUUUUCCCCUCGACUCGUUGCGUGAAGAGGAGCUACAGCGACGGUGAGCUGUGAUGGGCACCGGGGGCAAGCUCACAUUAUGUGGUACAGAUUCGUGAGGAAUCCUUCAAUCAAGAAAGGUUGUCUUAUCAAUUUUUCUAUAUGUUUACAUUAUGUGAAUGAAUAUUUCUUGUUGAAUUUUCCAAAUCUAAAUAUGUUUGCUAUACCUUUUUAGAGAGCUAUAACUUGGUGAUAAUUCCUAGUGUGAGUGGGUGGGUUAAGUUAUAAACUCUACCCAGAUGCUUCCAUUUAAAUUAUUGUGGAAGUCUCUUAAUAAUGCAGGAUUUGUGAACAAUGUGUGUUAAAUUUAUUUAGUAGAAUUUUUAUUUUUUUGGUUUCUAGAUACAUUCAUAGAUAAUACCUAUUAACUUACCACAACAUGAUGGUGUCAAACUUUGAUAACUCAGAACACAAAGAUGAUUUGCUCUUGAAGAAAAAGGGGGAAAACUCCCUUUUGUGAUGCUCAGUUGUCAUAAGAAAUUUUAUUACAGAAUGUUAGGUUAAUUCAAAGUUCUAGUCUGAAUCAACACACAUGUGGGUUAGCCUAAUAACAUACUUCGACAAUUAGUUUCCUCAAAAUAUUUUUUGUAGUAAGUAAUUUGUAUGCAUAUUCUUUU